AUGAUUGCGUAGGGCGUCUAAAUAUAGAUCAUCCUUAUAGAUAGGGCUGGCAGUGGGCAGGAAGAGCGCAUUUGGUUUCGGAGUUGUUACACUUCACCCGGCCGGAAGAACGUUCUGUUAUCGAGCAGGCGCUGCAGCCCAAAGUCAGAGGAGCGAUGAAGGUUUACAUAGGCGCGACGGUGAAGCGCCCUGCGAGCCGGGGACCGACCCAGCUCAAGGAACCUGAUCCAAAGGUUGUCAAGGAGUGUGCGAUGGAGCUGAGGAAGGUCGGGGAUCUGCUCAACUUCCUUCACAUCAUGCUGAAUACUGUUACCAAAAUGUUCCAGCGGUCUACCUGAACCCCUCGGUCGAGGCUGCUACACCAUUAAAAGGUUGAAAAAAAUAUCAACGGUCUUUAACUUCUCAGUUGGAAGCAUUCAUGUCUGGGCAUGUCAGCAACGGAGAACAGAUUGUAUUGUAACGAAUGUGGAAAUGAAGAAAUAAUAUUGUGAGGAUUUGUUUUUAGAAGUAAGGUAUGAUGUGAGGAUGGCCAGUCAAGUUACAAGCCGAAGAUGAAGCAAAAUCUGGAAGUGGAAGGAUUUAGCUCGGAAAGUUGUAACUGCAAAAGCGCAUUAUGAAAAAAAAAGUUGAGUCGACAUUUUAAUGUGUAACAAACGGAGCCUUUUGUUCAAUUUAAAUUUGUAUACAUGUUGGAGAAGUUUGUUGCUUAUGGAGAAACUUUCUAAUUGUGAAAACAGCUGCAAAUAUUAAAAAUUGGGUGCAUGAGGCUUUGUGUAAGUCAUGAAAGAUGUGUUGGAUUUUUAGUGGUUUUAUGAAAGAUUAUGCUUAUUACAUGUCUUUUGUGAUGCAAAAUUAAAGGAGUGACUUACUGUAGUUAUUAUCUUUGCGCAUUAGUAGGAGGAAAUGUAUUGUAAAUGACUUUAAAUAUUUUAAAAGUUCUCCAGUUUAAUAGUGAACUUGGCAUUAAUCAAAUAUGUAGCUUUCUCAAUUAUUGUAUUAUGACAAAGUGGUAGAAGAUGUAGUUUAUUUGAUGUAGUUUAUACAAA